rnacentral:rRNA from 1 species
GACGAACGCUGGCGGCGUGCUUAACACAUGCAAGUCGAACGCUGAAGCUUGGUGCUUGUACUGGGUGGAUGAGUCGCGAACGGGUGAGUAAUAUGUGUGUACCCCGCUUUUGACUGUGGGAUAAUCCUGGGACACUGGGUCUAACACUGGAUAAGACAUGUCACCGCAUGGUGGUGUGUGGAAAGGGUUCUGGUGGUUUUGGAUGGGCUCACGGCCUAUCAGCUUGUUGGUGGGGUAAUGGCCCACCAAGGCGACGACGGGUAGCCGGCCUGAGAGGGUGACCGGCCACACUGGGACUGAGACACGGCCCAGACUCCUACGGGAGGCAGCAGUGGGGAAUAUUGCACAAUGGGCGGAAGCCUGAUGCAGCGACGCCGCGUGAGGGAUGACGGCCUUCGGGUUGUAAACCUCUUUCGGCAGGGAAGAAGCGAAAGUGACGGUACGUGCAGAAGAAGCGCCGGCUAACUACGUG